UGAUGUGGCUCAGAUGGUAGAGCAGUGCACUCGUAAUGCACAGGUCGGGGGUUCGAGUCCCCCCAUCA
rnacentral:tRNA from 1 species